UACAGAGGUCCCAAGCGUUGUUCGGAUUCAUUGGGCGUAAAGGGUGCGUAGGCGGUCGGGUAAGUCUGAUGUGAAAUCUCACAGCUUAACUGUGAAACUGCAUUGGAUACUAUUCGGCUUGAGAGUUGGAGGGGGGACUGGAAUUCUUGGUGUAGCAGUGAAAUGCGUAGAUAUCAAGAGGAACACCAGUGGCGAAGGCGAGUCCCUGGACAACUUCUGACGCUGAGGCACGAAAGCUAGGGGAGCAAACAGG
rnacentral:rRNA from 1 species